GACGAACGCUGGCGGCGUGCUUAACACAUGCAAGUCGAACGGAAAGGCCCUGCUUUUGUGGGGUGCUCGAGUGGCGAACGGGUGAGUAACACGUGAGUAACCUGCCCUUGACUUUGGGAUAACUUCAGGAAACUGGGGCUAAUACCGGAUAGGAGCUCCUGCUGCAUGGUGGGGGUUGGAAAGUUUCGGCGGUUGGGGAUGGACUCGCGGCUUAUCAGCUUGUUGGUGGGGUAGUGGCUUACCAAGGCUUUGACGGGUAGCCGGCCUGAGAGGGUGACCGGCCACAUUGGGACUGAGAUACGGCGCAGACGGCUACGGGAGGCAGCAGUGGGGAAUAUGGCGCAGUGGGCGGAAGCGUGAGGCAGCAACGCCGCGUGCGGGAUGACGGCCUUCGGGGUGUAAACCGCCGUGGCCUGUGACGAAGCGUGAGUGACGGUAAUGGGUAAAGAAGCACCGGCUAACUACGUG
rnacentral:rRNA from 1 species